AAUUGAACGCUGGCGGCAUGCCUUACACAUGCAAGUCGAACGGCAGCACGGGUGCUUGCACCUGGUGGCGAGUGGCGAACGGGUGAGUAAUACAUCGGAACAUGUCCUGUAGUGGGGGAUAGCCCGGCGAAAGCCGGAUUAAUACCGCAUACGAUCUACGGAUGAAAGCGGGGGACCUUCGGGCCUCGCGCUAUAGGGUUGGCCGAUGGCUGAUUAGCUAGUUGGUGGGGUAAAGGCCUACCAAGGCGACGAUCAGUAGCUGGUCUGAGAGGACGACCAGCCACACUGGGACUGAGACACGGCCCAGACUCCUACGGGAGGCGGCAGUGGGGAAUUUUGGACAAUGGGCGAAAGCCUGAUCCAGCAAUGCCGCGUGUGUGAAGAAGGCCUUCGGGUUGUAAAGCACUUUUGUCCGGAAAGAAAUCCUUGGCUCUAAUACAGUCGGGGGAUGACGGUACCGGAAGAAUAAGCACCGGCUAACUACGUGCCAGCAGCCGCGGUAAUACGUAGGGUGCGAGCGUUAAUCGGAAUUACUGGGCGUAAAGCGUGCGCAGGCGGUUUGCUAAGACCGAUGUGAAAUCCCCGGGCUCAACCUGGGAACUGCAUUGGUGACUGGCAGGCUAGAGUAUGGCAGAGGGGGGGUAGAAUUCCACGUGUAGCAGUGAAAUGCGUAGAGAUGUGGAGGAAUACCGAUGGCGAAGGCAGCCCCCUGGGCCAAUACUGACGCUCAUGCACGAAAGCGCGGGGAGCAAACAGGAUUAGAUACCCUGGUAGUCCACGCCCUAAACGAUGUCAACUAGUUGUUGGGGAUUCAUUUCCUUAGUAACGUAGCUAACGCGUGAAGUUGACCGCCUGGGGAGUACGGUCGCAAGAUUAAAACUCAAAGGAAUUGACGGGGACCCGCACAAGCGGUGGAUGAUGUGGAUUAAUUCGAUGCAACGCGAAAAACCUUACCUACCCUUGACAUGGUCGGAAUCCCGCUGAGAGGUGGGAGUGCUCGAAAGAGAACCGGCGCACAGGUGCUGCAUGGCUGUCGUCAGCUCGUGUCGUGAGAUGUUGGGUUAAGUCCCGCAACGAGCGCAACCCUUGUCCUUAGUUGCUACGCAAGAGCACUCUAAGGAGACUGCCGGUGACAAACCGGAGGAAGGUGGGGAUGACGUCAAGUCCUCAUGGCCCUUAUGGGUAGGGCUUCACACGUCAUACAAUGGUCGGAACAGAGGGUUGCCAACCCGCGAGGGGGAGCUAAUCCCAGAAAACCGAUCGUAGUCCGGAUUGCACUCUGCAACUCGAGUGCAUGAAGCUGGAAUCGCUAGUAAUCGCGGAUCAGCAUGCCGCGGUGAAUACGUUCCCGGGUCUUGUACACACCGCC
rnacentral:rRNA from 1 species